GCCGUUUUCUACCGGCUGAAGCACGCAUGCUUCCUUUGCUUCCUUUGCUUCUGCAAGGGAACAAUGAGCAAGUGCAUGUGUGGGAACCCUCCUGCCUGCUGGGCGCUCAGCUAGGAGUCCCAGAAUACCAGACACCAUUAUAUUCAAAUAUCCCUGCUCUCAGACCCCUGUAGACCUACUGGUUCUGGAAAAAAGCUUUCUUCUUCGGUCCCCUGAGUAGGCUAGUGACAACUGAAAACAUGCAGACCACAAAAGAUGUGAGAAUUCAAACUGAGCCAUAGCUCCAUCUCCUGGAAGUGUAUAUCAGCAGCAACAAGAGUAAAGACCCAGAGGCAUGAGAAACACUUCCUCACUGAAGCACUCACGUUCCGACUGUGUGCAAAAGACCUUUUGUGUCUCACUCACUGAGGGAGAUUGUUCUUCACUCAAUCAAUGAGAAGAACAGACGUCUUAGAAAACCUUCAGUACCUGGGGGAAAUGAAUGAGCUCAAACACAAGGGAAAGUCAGCCCGUGUUCAAGAUAAGCCCAUCUCAGGAAGGCAGGCACCAUGCUCCUGAGACUACUUUACCCCCAGAUAAGAAAGCCCUUAUUGAUAAGCCAAAAUCACAGAUUAUUUUAUUAAGCUCAUAUUUUAAAAGAAUGCAAAGCUUCCUUUAAUGUUACUUUCCAUUAUAAAUGUAAAAUUACAGUUUGCACAUAAUAUCUGGAUUCUGGUUAACUAUUUUCCAUACUGUAUUUUGCAAUUGCAUAUCUGCAUUUCUAUUUUUAUAUUAAAAAAUAAAUAGGGUUAUGCAAAUAAUAUUUCUAAUUGUGCAUAUUUAUGUAUUUAUAUUAAGUUUUAGUAUGUCUGCUUGCUCACAUAAUUUAUCUUCUCUUUAUGUAUAAUUUCAUUUACUUACAAUAACUAAUUAUUAGGGAAACAAAUAAAAUCUUUGAGAAAUUACCAGAG
rnacentral:lncRNA from 1 species